GAGGGUAUAGCUCAGUGGUAGAGUGCAUGCUUAGCAUGCAUGAGGUCCUGGGUUCAAUACCCAGUACCUCUA
rnacentral:tRNA from 1 species